ensembl:lncRNA
GGUGAAUGAAACACAGUGUAAAGUGCUUUGGAUAAAAGCGCUAUAUAUGUGCACCAUUUACGAUGGUUUCGACGUAUAAUAUCCGCUUAGAGCCGAUACAUUUAGAGGCUUGGUUUCGACGAUAAAAGUGUCCCUUGUUUUGCGGCUUGAUUAUACGUCAUAUCGACGAUAAUCUUUGCGACUUUCCGCCGACUUUUUCAACGUCGAUUUGUUUGCUGGGCUGUCACCCCCAAACCAAUGGCCUGGAUGAAAAAUCAAAUGACAACAUAAAGUGGGGGACAAGUGGAACCCACACUAUUCCAGCUAAAUGCCCCCCACAGCAUAACAGAGCCACUGGAUCCCCUCAGCUGGAAUGCAGAUGAUUACUGCAUGGUAUGCUCCUUGCUUGAAAAAGAUGAAGAUCAGAGCAUGAUUGAAAUGGUGCAGUGUGGUGUGUGCAGUAGGUGGGCACAUUUUGAAUGUGCCCAAUAUGAAAACCAUAGUUGUGUUACAUAUACGCGCAAAAAGUGCCACUAGCUGCAGUUAUAACAUGGGUAGCAUACUUCAUGGGGCAGAAAAGAAGCUGUCAGAGAUAGCAGGACACUGUGAAAUGUGUAAAAAAUUAAGGUAACACAUCUUGACAGGGAAAUAAUGAGUCAUCAGAAUGUGCUACCAGCAUAACAUUCAUGUGUGAUUUGUAAAUGACUUCUGUAUGUUAAUAAAG